UACUAAGUGGUUUUGCCCACAUCUGGGCAGACGGAAGGAAGAAACUGUCCAAGGAUGUCAGAUUGUGGGUUUUCUUUCUGUAUCUGUUAAUGUCAUUGUUUACUGCAACAACACCAGCUGAGAUUGGAUCUCACUGGAAAGAUAGGACCAUUAAUCUCUGCUGUUUGAACUGAGAUUUAUACUAUUUUUGGGGGACAGAGGAGGGGAGGGACAAGUAUUUUGGAUGGUGAUAGAAAUUCCUUUUCAUGUUGUUGUUGUUUUUCUUCUUUUUUUCUUUUUUUUCUUUUUUAAAUCAUUAUGCAAACAUUUCUGCAAUUUGACAGUUCGGUGUUUUUGUGUGUGUGCAUAUAUCAUAUAUAUACAUACAUUUAUCCAUUGUAUGUAUUUCAGUGAAAAUCUAUUAUGUUUAUGAAUGAAUGGAAUGGAUUUUCAUUUGUUUGUUUUUUCUCUUGUUUCAGAAGGGCUGAAGGUCAUACACAUGGCAGAAUCUUCCAACCCUGCCUGCAGGAGCUACUGGUAAAAGCAUUCAGGCAGGGUGAGGUGCAGAGCCUGAGCUUCCACUGGAUGUUGAUGGCUGCGAUACGCUUAUAGAGAAAGUACACUUUAUAAUUGGCAGCAAACAUCAGUGACCUGGCAUGAUUCCUGGCUAUGAAGUGGCUCUUUUUUGGCAGAAGAAAUUUCUGCUCCAGUUCCUGAGUGUUUCCUGGAAGGCAAGAUAGCAUUUAUGGGCUUUGAUACGAAUUUAACUCAUGCAACAAUGCAGAAACUGAUUUUAACUGUGUGAUUGAGGUAACACUUGAAGUUACCCUAGAAGCAUCUAUCUCAAGACCUGCCAAAGAUGUGCUUUUCAGACAUAUGCAGAUGUAAGAAGCUGUGAUUUAAAAGCUUCAUGUGAUAGAAAGUAAUCUUAGAAAUGUGGAUAUAUGUACCUGGUCCUAUCUCAGCUCUCUUUCCUGCCACAACGUUUCUUGUUUUAGUGGUGUUCCCAUUGCUUUACCUAGAAAAUUUCUUCAUCAACUCAUCCUGUACUUCUCAGCCCUGCCAAUAAUCACACUCUGCCUUUCCAUGUGGGCAUUCUGUCAGUGCUGAUGAGUAUUUUGGCUUUAAUAGAAAACUAGACAAUAAAAUAGCAAAAUAUUUUAGGUGCUAUUUUCUGGUCUCAUGUAAUUCCCUAUAUUACUUCUGCUGUGUUAAUAGAGAAUUUUGCAAUCACUUUUUAAACAACGUUCAUGAUUUCUUCCCAGUUUGAUUAUCUGAUGGCUUCUUUGAAAUCACUGUUAAAAUCUGAUCUAUAAAAUAAAAUGAAUAUUGAAAUAUCUUAUCUCCAUGUUGUAGGUAAUAAAAACAUUGUAAAGGUUAGCAACAUUACCUUUAAAUACAGAAUCAAGCAUGUUAAGUGCCUUGGAGUUAAGAUUUUAACUUUAUUAGAUUUAUGGUAAGAAUUAAAAUAUCCUCUCUUGUUACAUUUAUAAAGAUAGAGCUCGUUAGAUGAAGGAAAUUUCUUUUAUCAUUAAUAGGUCACAUAAAUGUGAUAAAAAUGUCUACGCUUUCCAUAAAUUUUAUUCUUAUUUUAAGCAGUUGCCGCAUAUAGAGUUUAUCCUUCAAAACUUUCAAUAGCAUUUUUAUAUCCUCCAAUUGAAAUAAUAAAAAGCAAAGAAUGAAAUGAAGCAAAUUAAUCCUCCCCUGGGAAACAGGGAGACUAGCACUGCCUGAUUUUGAAUUGUGGCAUUGCUUUGCAAAGCUUAAACAUUUUCCUCUCUCUUUCCAUGAUUUAAAUAGGGAAAUGAGUUUCUGUUCUGAAGGAUCUUGGAAUUAAAUGUCAAAAUUGCCUUCUAAGCAACAACCUUGUGUAGGGGACCUGAUACUUCCUUCCCGCUGCAUAGUUUUGUUGGCCAGAACAGGUGACUGGAAGAUGAAAUAAGAGUGUAAGAGUGAGACAGUAAUUUCUUUUCAGAGAUACUAUUUUAACAAUGUAGAAAGGAGGAAAGGCAAAACUGGAUCAGGCUCAGGGACCGUGUAGCCUCUUUUCUGAUUCUGAUAGCAACAACUCACAGCCGUGAUUCAAAAGCUCUGUUUUUAUGAAAACUUGGCCAUAUUACAUUGCUUUAUUGAUUCCUGGUCCAGUUUCAUUUGGAGUCACUGCCAAGCUUCCUACUGGAUGUAAAUAAAAGAAGUCAAACCCGGUGUUGUCUGGGCAGCAAUUCACAAGGUCUAAAUCCAGAACACUCGCAAAUUGAGAUAGAAUUUGUUGGUGGUCUGCAGAAAGCAGACUGGUCAAUCUGUGUGGGAUUUAUUUCUGGUUUCUAGCUGCUGUUGUAUGUUUUCAGUCUAUUUGCUGUGAAAUGAAAAAGUUUGGCCGAGUUAUAAAGUUAUCUGGAAACAAGGGGCCAGUGGCACGUAAGAUAAGGACUGAGAAGACAAUAACCAGACCUACAGUAAGAACUAAAAGUGCUGUGGAAAAGCAAUUUUGUUCAGAGAAGUGAAUAAAGCAAAAGAAUAAAACUGUAAUCACAGGAGAUUCAGCUGAAACAGUGUGGAGGUGUGGAGGCUGAAUGGGUGAAGAAUGGGGGUGAAGAUGGCUGUGAUCUGUGGGAGUGAGUGAACACGUGUGUACCUGUAUGGUAUGCAAGCAAGCAUGAGAGAUGGAGAAAAUAGGAGAUGAGGAAAUGAUUGUAUGACUCUUAUUUUUCUUUUUUUUUUUUUCUCUAAAAGUUAAAAAAUUCCUACCCUUAUUGCAUUUGAAAUCUCUGUAUAUUAUUUUCAGUUCUCUGUCAGAAAACAUUGAUCUUGGGGAAUGAUAUAUUUUGGUGGGGAAAUGAAGCUGUCAGUGACAUUGUAUUUUGAAAAAGUGCAACUGAAGUGCUGGAUCAGGAAGGUACAACUUUAUUUCUAUUUAAAAUGGUGCUUCUGGCUUUGAAUUUAAUGCUGUAGUUAAGCUUGAAACAAAGGUUUUGGCUGGGCAAACUGAUGGUAUUUGAUGAACAGGAGUUUUUAAAGUCUGACUUUUUAUUAUAGUUGAAUUUUUUUUUCUUUUUUUAAAUACUGGAAUUUUGUAACAGAAAACAAGGGUUUUAAAAAUCUGUAUAACUGAUAAUUUUGCCACUUCAGUGACUGCUAUAUCAUCUGAAGAAUAACUGCUGAUAGGUGAGGUGAGAGACCUCCUGCCUACCCCUAGCGUCCCUGCAGUAGGAAAUGCUGUAGCAAAGUCAUCUGUCUCCUCAGAUGUCAGAAUAAGAAUCUGGAUGAAUGGAGAUAAAUGUAAGACUGAUCUUCCUUCAUGAUUAUGUUCAUUCACAUAUGCUGAAGGGAAGCUGCACUUAAAUUCUAAUUUAUCUCUCAGUAUAAUAACUCUUCGUAAAAAGACUUAGAAAUUGGGAAUGUACAGUAUUAACAAAUUGAAAAAAACUUAUCACUGAGCCACAGUACAUCUGAAGAUAAAACUUAUCAUUGAAAUAACUGUCAUUUCUCCAGUGAUGUUCAUGCUACAUUAUAUCAUAGCAUAAAGUCAGCUUUUAAUAUGUAGCUUGUUGGCUUCACGAAGUGCUUUGCAUACUAUUGUGCUUCUGCAGGACAGAAUCUGGAGAAAAUCUUUCUCUCUUGUGCUUGACUAGCCUGUAUAAUCUGAGGUAGGAUAAAUGAUCCAUGCCUUGAAAAGAUAAAGCAAGCAGAGGUUUAUUACAAGCCUUUUUUCUCGGGGGAACUGUCUAAACCUUUUACUCUCAAAAGAGGCUUAAUGAGCCUGGCCUUCUCCACACUCUUAGAGCAAUGUGUUUUUAAAAUGUUACGGAAAGUGUAAGGCAGUAAAAUAGUUUUCUUCUCAGUUUGUAGGAUUAAAGCAUGAUAUGAGGGGUAAUCUCUCAUUAAUCACCACCACCUUAAAUGUCUGGACUGAUAGAAGAUAAGUACAAUCACGAAUGCCAGGGGUUGACAGCCUUAUCAAAGGGACUCUGGACUGCAAGUCCAGAAAAGGCCCCUUGGGCUGUGUCUGGUGGAAACAUUUAUUGAAGGACUAUGCAGUAAUUAACAUAGAAGUAAAUACUUUGUUAAGGAUUAUGUGCACGGCAUGAAUCUUGAACAAGAAUGUACCCAUGCCCGUUUGGAUUCUCUGUGAGUGGAUGUGAGGAGGAAAGAGGUGUCAAUGAAAAGUACCAGAGCACUUAGAGCAAUUCCCUCCAGCAUCAUUUGCUCUAUUGUUGGCUUUGGGACUCUGUUAUCUCUGUCAAAACCCUCCCCACAUCUGCUGUUGAGCAACCAUUGGAGAAAUCAAGCAAUAGCAGCACACUUACGAUGGUUGGGAGACUUUGUUUUUGGGGUAAGAUGUUGACAAGUUAGAUUACAUUUUGAUGUGCUGUUGUUUUUUUUUAAUUUUCUUUGAGACAAAAGCAUGUAAUAUGGAUCAUAAGAAACUUAUUGUACUAGCAGGAGACCAGAUUUGGAAUUGGAAACAAGAAUAAGUUCUAAUAGGAAAACAAUUCUUACAGGGGUAAAUAGACAUUUAGAAAAGAUCUUAGAUUACAGAUGGAUCAAUUUUGGAGCGGUCCCUUUAAUAAAGGUGGAAGAACUACCUGCGCAAAAUAGUAACCAUGCUCACAGUCUGCAGCCAGGAGAAUGAUUCGCUAUUAUUAAGUUUGGAAGAAUAAGAAUCUUUGGCACUAUAGUAGUGAAAAAAUACACUUUGA